AAUUACUGAAAGCAUGUUAGAAAUUCAAUGUUGGUAUGUAUGAACAUACAAGAAGUCAAGAUUGUCAGAGUAGUAAGGAUGAUGGCCUUAAUGCUCUGUACGAAUAACUCCCAACUCUUGCCUCUGGAUCCACUCACCAGCUGAUCUGUCCCAUGGCAUCUCUCACAAGUUGGCAACCCUGCCCCCGAGGUAAACGCCAACGAAGCCUGAGGUUAGAAGGAUUGAUUCCUCUCCUGGCUGCCUCAGGUGUCCACCCCCUCCCGGCAACCUGCUGUCCUUCGCCUUAUCUGUGCCUUCUUGAGGAAGGUGGCCAGCUACCAUGUUUGUGAUACCCACACAGGACUACACCAGGACUCGUAAGGGACUACCCACACGGACUGACCCAUAAAGGCACCUCUUCCACCUUGGACCUCAGUCUAGGAAGCUGCUUUUUCUCCGAUGUAGGAAUCACUCAUGGACCAUACAUGAGCAGUGACCAUCUCCCUAUCUUUAUCUUGAUCACCAGCAAGCUCCCUCAGCCGAUAUCGCUCCGUCCCCGUAACGAGCGGGCUCAUGAGCAUCGAUUGCAUGGUGUGAAUCCCAGUCCUAUAGCAAAUACGGACGGUGCAACUAUAGUUAAAUGUAAAGACUGCAAUGUGACUUUCAGUAACCUCAAUAAUUACUGAGAACACCUUCUCGUGGUCCAUGAAAUUGAGAGUCACAAGGUUCAUCAUACAUUUUCAUCUGAAGAAGGUAAGCUGGAUAUAAUAACAAGAUAAACGUAAUGUAAUCUAACCUAACAAACUAAUGGUAAAAUUCUAGGGUUUGCCCAUACUCCUCUCUCUCCCCCCCACAACAAGCAUGGGGACAUGUGGAAAUGCUGGGUUUUGGAUGGGGGUAAAUUUGCAGUUUCAAUCAAUACAGCCUAUCUUAAAUUUCUUUUUCCCAAAGUCUAACAAGCUUGGGGACCUCCUGGGAAAGCAGGGUUUUUGGGUGGAGAAAGCAAAAAUGAGGCACUUUUGGUGAUCCCUGAAAAUCUAAAGGCUAAAACCCAUUUUUUUAG